CCUAAUAGUUAUCAAAAUUAAGGUGAGUCGGGGCAAGCGCGCCUACGGGGUAAGAGCGCCCCCCCCUAUUAUCUCAAAAACUACUGAUGUGGGACUCUUAACGACAUCUUACAUCCAUGGAACAAAUCAAAUGAAGUUCCGGGUUUAAAUCACAGAUGGCUCUGCUUGCUCUAAUUUGAGAUAAUGGACAUUCUAUUUUUAGUGUCAUUUUAACAUCAAUUACGAGAUGAGCACGUGUUACAAAUCCAUUAAAAUCUCAGAAAAUCAUCAGUGUUUGGGGAAACUAAUAAGAUGGUUCGUAAUUACGUUAGAAAAACUGAGGGUCCUUCUUGGUCCAAGGAAACCUUAUUUGAAGCAAUUGAAGCGGUUCAAUCAGGUAGAUUAUCUGGGUAUGAAGCUGCCAAAACAUACGAUAUACCCCGUAAAACAAUAAUGGAUCAUGUAAAUGGUCGAAGAGGCCAAAAGUCACUCACACAAGGUAGACCCACUGCGUUGUCAUCGGAAACGGAGCAAAAAUUAGCUUAUUGUGUACAUGUGAUGGAAAUGUAAUUAUAGCCUGAAAUUAAAGUUUUUUUUUCCUAUUACUGUGAUUUGUCAUAAUUUAUGCCAGUAUAAAAUUUCAUCUACACAUACAUUAAAGUUUUUAUCAAAAUUCAAAAAGCUACCCACCUAUGAUUGUUGAGAACCCCUGACUCGAAAGAUAUGGCGCACUUGCCCCGAAUUUCAUUUGAUGGCCGUAACUUAUUUUGUAUUGCCAUUUUCAAAAAUAACCCAAAAGUAUUGUGUUUUUUUGUUGACGUUCUUUCAAGUAAAUUUGGUGUUUUUCUGCUAAGCAUUACUUUUGGCGGUUUAUUUUGUGUAGGCGCACUUGCCCCAUUUUCAGAGGCAAGUGCGCCUAUCUCCAUGUUUUUAAAAAACUAGCAUUAUAUCCUAAAUUUAUCAGUAUAUUCACUUAAUCAACGUAACAUUAUUAUCUCAAAUAACCAAAGAUUGUAAAUUUUAUAAAUUUACAUGUUUAGGUCAGUAAAUAGAGAAGAUAUAUUGAGUUGAAUUCAUCUAUGAAAAAACUAUGGCGCGCUUGCCCCGACUCACCUUAU